rnacentral:rRNA from 1 species
AUUGAACGCUGGCGGCAGGCCUAACACAUGCAAGUCGAGCGGAUGAAGGGAGCUUGCUCCUGGAUUCAGCGGCGGACGGGUGAGUAAUGCCUAGGAAUCUGCCUGGUAGUGGGGGAUAACGUCCGGAAACGGGCGCUAAUACCGCAUACGUCCUGAGGGAGAAAGUGGGGGAUCUUCGGACCUCACGCUAUCAGAUGAGCCUAGGUCGGAUUAGCUAGUUGGUGGGGUAAAGGCCUACCAAGGCGACGAUCCGUAACUGGUCUGAGAGGAUGAUCAGUCACACUGGAACUGAGACACGGUCCAGACUCCUACGGGAGGCAGCAGUGGGGAAUAUUGGACGAUGGGCGAAAGCCUGAUCCAGCCAUGCCGCGUGUGUGAAGAAGGUCUUCGGAUUGUAAAGCACUUUAGGUUGGGAGGAAGGGCAGUAAAUUAAUACCUUGCUGUUUUGACGUUACCAACAGAAUAAGCACCGGCUAACUUCGUG